rnacentral:rRNA from 1 species
AUUGAACGCUGGCGGCAGGCUUAACACAUGCAAGUCGAGCGGGGAAAGGUAGCUUGCUACCUGACCUAGCGGCGGACGGGUGAGUAAUGCUUAGGAAUCUGCCUAUUAGUGGGGGACAACAUCUCGAAAGGGAUGCUAAUACCGCAUACGUCCUACGGGAGAAAGCAGGGGACCUUCGGGCCUUGCGCUAAUAGAUGAGCCUAAGUCGGAUUAGCUAGUUGGUGGGGUAAAGGCCUACCAAGGCGACGAUCUGUAGCGGGUCUGAGAGGAUGAGCCGCCACACUGGGACUGAGACACGGCCCAGACUCCUACGGAAGGCAGCAGUGGGGAAUAUUGGACAAUGGGGGGAACCCUGAUCCAGCCAUGCCGCGUGUGUGAAGAAGGCCUUAUGGUUGUAAAGCACUUUAAGCGAGGAGGAGGCUACUGAGACUAAUACUCUUGGAUAGUGGACGUUACUCGCAGAAUAAGCACCGGCUAACUCUGUGCCAGCCGCCGCCGUAAAAC